GUUCUCGUGGAGCAGCGGAGUGCUCGCCUGCCUGUCACGCAGGAGAUCGCCGGUUCGAAUCCGGUCGGGAACG
rnacentral:tRNA from 2 species